AGAAUGGCUGAGUAAGCAUUAGACUGUAAAUCUAAAGACAGAGGAGUCCCCUCUUUUUACCA
rnacentral:tRNA from 2 species